AAGUAUAUAAGUUACAAAAAUUCCAAGAAUUAAUCGUAGUAAGUUUACAACGUUUGAUUCUAUAAGACAUCAUGCACAUCUUAAACAUUUUAUUGUUAAUAGUCGUAAUUAUGGCCAUAUUUGCUGGUCAAUCGGAAGCUGGAAUUGGUAGAGCUGUAGACAAAGUGGUUGAUACUGGCAGAAAUAUGAAGAAUUCGGUCAAGGAUAAAUUUCAUACUCGUCAGAAUGUGGCUUAAGAAAUCAACGUUUUUUUCUUUAGUUCUAAUUCAAUUUCAAUUUAAUUUUUAUAUAAAAAAUGCUGGGCAUUUUAAUUUCUUUAGAGGAAGACUGUAUUAAUAGAGUAGUAGUUUUUUUUUUAAAUUUAACUGAAGUUAAACACCAUUGCAAUAUCUAAUCAAUAAACAAUAAAACUAUAUUUAAAGCAACACAAA